rnacentral:rRNA from 1 species
GUGGGGGAUAUUGCACAAUGGGGGAAACCCUGAUGCAGCAACGCCGCGUGAGGGAAGAAGGUUUUCGGAUUGUAAACCUCUGUCCUCAGGGAAGAUAAUGACGGUACCUGAGGAGGAAGCUCCGGCUAACUACGUGCCAGCAGCCGCGGUAAUACGUAGGGAGCAAGCGUUGUCCGGAUUUACUGGGUGUAAAGGGUGCGUAGGCGGGAUAUCAAGUCAGACGUGAAAUCCAUUGGCUUAACUGAUGAACUGCGUUUGAAACUGGUAUUCUUGAGUGAGUCAGAGGCAGGCGGAAUUCCCGGUGUAGCGGUGAAAUGCGUAGAGAUCGGGAGGAACACCAGUGGCGAAGGCGGCCUGCUGGGGCUUAACUGACGCUGAGGCACGAAAGCGUGGGGAGCAAACAGGA